UAUUUGAAGACUAAGGGUGCAUGGUCCCGAAGCAAACACUGUCCUGUCCCGAGGCCCAAGGCCGAGUGCUCUUUCUGCAAAGUUGAUCUGUUGAUUGGAAGAGUGAGGAGAUCCUGAUUUUUACAGUGCUGUGAGACAGAAGUAUAUUGUCAAAAACAAAGUAUAAUGCUAUUUAUUUACUGUGUUAUCAUUCCAAUGAAAUCUUGUGAUUGUUAUUCAAUUAUUUUUGCUAUGAGUGUAACUGACAAUUCGUGGUUGAACUUGAACUUGAAAGUUGUGCUUAGAAUGCUGCUCAGAAUGUGCUUGAGUCUUUUUUUUUUUCUUUUUUUUUUAAAUUACAAAAUGGAGAUCAUUUCAGAGCACUUUAUAUUGCAUGAUUUUCUACAUAUUGGAGAGACAUUUAAUCGUGUAAAAUGCUUAAAAUACUUGUACAAAACUGGUAAAGGUGAAUUAGAGAUUCCGAACUGAGUAAAGGAAGUAUAUGUAGUAAUCUUAUGAAAUUGAACAAAGAGCACAUCAAAAACCACAUCAUUUUUGUGUGCUAGAUCUGUCAAGCUUUUUAUGGAAUAAUAGCCUGCAAUUGCUGGUUUCAGAUUUUACUUUUUUGAAAAUAGCAUUUAGGAAUACAAGUUCUGCUGAAGUUAAACCUUUGAAGAAUAUUACCUGAGCUUUUGGCUGGCAUAAAAUUUAUGCAUGCAGUUCAUUUAUUUUUAGGGAAAAAAUAUUAAUGAUAAUGUCCAUCAUAUCCUGUUAUGGUGCAUUAGGUUAACUCUUUGUUAAUUGUUGACUGAUGACUUUAAUAGAAAAUGAAAUGAAAUCCUUUUUAUAUUAACAUGAAAAUAAUAAAUAUGUUUAUAAACAG
rnacentral:misc_RNA from 1 species